rnacentral:lncRNA from 10 species
AAGUGGGGAAGCCACUGAAUGGUUUUGAGGAGAGAGAGGACGUUAUCUGACUUAAGGUUUACAUUUAAUCUUAAUAGGAUGAAGAGGAACCCAAAGAUGAAGAUUUCAGCCCUGACGGGGGUUAUAUUCCACGAAUCCUUUUUCUGGAUCCCAGUGGCAAGGUGCAUCCUGAAAUCAUCAAUGAGAAUGGAAACCCCAGCUACAAGUAUUUUUAUGUCAGUGCCGAGCAAGGUAUAGUUAUGCUGAAGGGAGGGAGGAUUAUUGCUAGAUUGAACUAGGAUGAACCACAUGCAAGGUCUGUGAUAGGAAAGUAAAUUCAGCAUGUUAGCUGAGCAUCUCCUGCAUGUCUAUAGCUUUUGGCCAGAUCCUGUGUAGGAUAUAGGAGGAAGAUGAGACUGAGCCCCUUCCCUUGGAAGAGCUGACUGACCCACAGGCAGCUGUGAAGAACUGAGGCACACAAGUGACUGAGGUAGUCACUUGCCCAUAGUUUCAUAGUUAAGUAGCAGAGCCAGAAUUUGAGUCCAGAACUUAGUUUUUUUCCUACUGAGCUAAUACUGUUUUUCCUAUGAAAAUUCAGUGGAAGAGGAAUAGUGUUAGGUGAACAAGUCUAAGAGGUUUUAUAGAUAUUAAACUUAAAUAGGCCGAGCACAGUG